GGAAUUGUGAUGAUAGAUGCAUGAUGUUUUACAUUUGUCAAAACCCGGGCUGCAGAUAACUUCUUUCCAAAGAGCACAGCAUGGAAAGGAAGAGGAAGAGUGAGUUUGCGGUGGAGAAACCUGACAAACGCUACCUUAGCCCGGUGAUGAAGAUCAACAUCUCUACUAAAAAUACAAAAUUAGCUGGGCAUGGCGGUGCAUGCCUGUAAUCCCAGCUACUCGGGAGGCAGAGGCAGGAGAAUCGCACUGCUUACAUUUCUGCCCAUGUUCCUUAGGGCCACCCCAAGAGGGACUAUAUUGUAGCAGCAGUCCAUUUUCAGCAAGCACCAAGACCCUGUGAUCUUUCUCUUUCACUCUGCUGGUAAGUGGUAGGUAGCUGGUUAAUUUUCCUGCCGUGGUAAGUUCAGGGCAGAUAUG
rnacentral:lncRNA from 1 species